rnacentral:rRNA from 1 species
ACGCUGGCGGCAUGCUUUACACAUGCAAGUCGGACGGCAGCACAGAGAAGCUUGCUUCUUGGGUGGCGAGUGGCGAACGGGUGAGUAACAUAUCGGAACGUACCGAGUAAUGGGGGAUAACUAAUCGAAAGAUUAGCUAAUACCGCAUAUUCUCUGAGGAGGAAAGCAGGGGACCUUCGGGCCUUGCGUUAUUCGAGCGGCCGAUAUCUGAUUAGCUAGUUGGUGGGGUAAAGGCCUACCAAGGCGACGAUCAGUAGCGGGUCUGAGAGGAUGAUCCGCCACACUGGGACUGAGACACGGCCCAGACUCCUACGGGAGGCAGCAGUGGGGAAUUUUGGACAAUGGGCGCAAGCCUGAUCCAGCCAUGCCGCGUGUCUGAAGAAGGCCUUCGGGUUGUAAAGGACUUUUGUCAGGGAAGAAAAGGCUGUUGCUAAUACCGACAGUUGAUGACGGUACCUGAAGAAUAAGCACCGGCUAACUACGUGCCAGCAGCCGCGGUAAUACGUAGGGUGCGAGCGUUAAUCGGAAUUACUGGGCGUAAAGCGAGCGCAGACGGUUACUUAAGCAGGAUGUGAAAUCCCCGGGCUCAACCUGGGAACUGCGUUCUGAACUGGGUGACUAGAGUGUGUCAGAGGGAGGUAGAGUUCCACGUGUAGCAGUGAAAUGCGUAGAGAUGUGGAGGAAUACCGAUGGCGAAGGCAGCCUCCUGGGAUAACACUGACGUUCAUGCUCGAAAGCGUGGGUAGCAAACAGGAUUAGAUACCCUGGUAGUCCACGCCCUAAACGAUGUCAAUUAGCUGUUGGGCAACUUGAUUGCUUAGUAGCGUAGCUAACGCGUGAAAUUGACCGCCUGGGGAGUACGGUCGCAAGAUUAAAACUCAAAGGAAUUGACGGGGACCCGCACAAGC